rnacentral:rRNA from 1 species
UACGGAAGGCAGCAGUGGGGAAUAUUGCACAAUGGGCGAAAGCCUGAUGCAGCUAUGCCGCGUGUAUGAAGAAGGCCUUAGGGUUGUAAAGUACUUUCAUCGGGGAGGAAAAAACAAAACUAAUAAUUUUAUUUCUUGACGUUACCCGAAAAAGAAGCACCGGCUAACUCCGUGCCAGCAGCCGCGGUAAUACGGAGGGUGCUAGCGUUAAUCAGAAUUACUGGGCGUAAAGAGCACGUAGGUGGUUUUUUUAAGUCAGAUGUGAAAUCCCUGGGCUUAACCUAGGAACUGCAUUUUGAAACUGAAAUACUAGAGUAUCGUAGAGGGAGGUAGAAUUCUAGGCGUAGCGGUGAAAUGCGUAGAUAUCUGGAGGAAUACCUGUGGCGAAAGCGGCCUCCUAAACGAAUACUGACACUGAGGUGCGAAAGCGUGGGGAGCAAACAGGGAUUAGAUACC